rnacentral:misc_RNA from 1 species
GAAAUGCGAUAAGUAGUGUGAAUUGCAGAAUUCAGUGAAUCAUCGAAUCUUUGAACGCACAUUGCGCCCUUUGGUAUUCCAAAGGGCAUGCCUGUUCGAGCGUCAUUUGUACCCUCAAGCUUUGCUUGGUGUUGGGCGUCUUGUCUCUAGCUUUACUGGAGACUCGCCUUAAAGUAAUUGGCAGCCGGCCUACUGGUUUCGGAGCGCAGCACAAGUCGCACUCUCUAUCAGCAAAGGUCUAGCAUCCAUUAAGCCUUUUUUUCAACUUUUGACCUCGGAUCAGGUAGGGAUACCCGCUGAACUUAAGC